UGGUGUAGUGCAGCUGAUUGAUAUGAGUAACCAAAAUGUGAUGGUGCUGUGCAGCUGAUUGGCAUUGACAUCGGCCAAUCGGCACGUAGCACCGCCUUUUUAAACCUGAUUGGUUGGUGCUUGGGAUACGUCACGUCCGACUCCGAUGCACUGGUUUGGGUGUCUGUAGCCGCUGCUACAGUGCAUCGUGUGGCGGUGGCUUUUCCCUUGGCUGUGGUGGCUGGAUGACUGUUCAAUUGCAGGAACUGAGGUUUCCCCCGGUGGAUGACGGGUCACUUUCCACUGGUGGUGGUGUUUCUCUACCGUGUGCUGUGGGACACAGUGCGUGAUAGCGUGAUUUUUGAGUGCACUGUGGUGUGUGCGUGUGCUGGGGUAAAGUCUGUCCACUUGUACCCAGUCAGUGGGAACCUCCAAUCCUGGUUUGGUUUUGUUUAUUUUUUGUUUCUUGUGUUUAAUAAUGAAGUGGGAAUUUUUGAUGUGUUUUUAAGAACCGUACAAUUUGACAGUUUUAUUCCAAAUAAAUAUUUUUGUACUUUUGCAUUUUACCUUUCUGGGAGAAACGAACCUGUGUCCUUUUUCUAAUAGUUGUUUCCCUGGGUAACUCCCGGGGUGGCGUAGUUGGUUAUUUUUAUUUAAAGAGAUUUAAACCCUACUCUAUACCCUCGUCACACAUAGUUUGACAUUUUGACUUUAAAACUUCAGCUUUACAAACACUUUUGUGCUGGAUUGGAUCAAAAUGAAUAAACCACCCCUCUCAGUUCAAUAAUCUUUAAAAACUGUUUUUUUUUUUUUUCUGGACACAAACUCCCACAUUAAACUGAAGUGAAGAUCUGUCAGCCAAUCAUGUCAAAUACAUAAACUGACUGGAUGACAAAGUGUAACACGGAAAAAACUAUCACCUUCAGUUUAAUUUUAAGCAAUUACCAAAAAUUCAUUAAAAACUAAGAGGUUUCACAUUUUUCAGAGUAGUAAAUGCACCCUUUUUUUGAACCCUUAACAAAAUUUGUGCUCUUGAAAUAGGAUGGGGGUUCCAGACUUUAAGAAGCCCUGCUCUGUAAAAUAAAAUGAUUAAAGUUUUACCCAC